rnacentral:tRNA from 1 species
GCUAACUUAGUAUAAUAAUUACGUGAGACUGUAAAUCUUGAGAUAGUUUACACUAGUUGGAA